rnacentral:rRNA from 1 species
CGGACGGGUGAGUAACGCGUGAGAAUUUGCCUUUAGGAGGGGGACAACAACUGGAAACGGUUGCUAAUACCCCAUAUGCUUUCGAGUGAAAUAGUUUUUCCGCCUAAAGAGAAGCUUGCGGCUGAUUAGCUUGUUGGUAAGGUAAUGGCUUACCAAGGCGACGAUCAGUAUCUGGUUUGAGAGGACGAUCAGACACACUGGAACUGAGACACGGUCCAGACUCCUACGGGAGGCAGCAGUGGGGAAUUUUCCGCAAUGGGCGAAAGCCUGACGGAGCAAUACCGCGUGAGGGAUGAAUGCCUAUGGGUUGUAAACCUCUUUUUUCAGGGAGGAACAAAAUGACGUGUACCUGAAGAAUAAGCAUCGGCUAACUCCGUGCCAGCAGCCGCGGUAAGACGGAGGAUGCAAGUGUUAUCCGGAAUCACUGGGCGUAAAGCGUCUGUAGGUGGUUUAAUAAGUCAACUGUUAAAUCUCGAGGCUCAACCUCGAAAUCGCAGUCGAAACUAUUAGACUAGAGUAUAGUAGGGGUAAAGGGAAUUUCCAGUGGAGCGGUGAAAUGCGUAGAGAUUGGAAAGAACACCGAUGGCGAAGGCACUUUACUGGGCUAUUACUAACACUGAGAGACGAAAGCUAGGGUAGCAAAAGGGAUUAGAUACCCCUGUAGUC